UUUGGAUAAAUAGAAGUGUGGUGGCGACUCGAAUUGUAUGAUUUACUUUUGAUUUAGUCAAUAAAUCUAAAGGUAACGAAUACCCCGCUACAGAAAAGCAAUUACUUUAAGAACACUCGAUUUCAGCAAGGAAUAUCAACAGCAGAUUGAGAAUAGGUAAGUCUUGACGUGCGAAGUCUUGUUGGUGUUCCCCAAGAAGUUGGUUUGGUGAUUUUUCUAAACAGUUCAUCAUUUAUCCUUAGUAGAGUGGAGUUGUUGAUCAGUCUCUUUUGCAGAUCUUUUC
rnacentral:lncRNA from 1 species